CGCGCCAAAUGCAUUGAGAGUGAUGAUGCAGAUGAAUCAAAGUGCAAGGGUUUGGGAAAAUACAGGACAUAUGCUGGUGGGACUGCAAGCUGGUCAAGGAACUUGUACGUUUUACUUUCUUUACUCAAGAUACUGAACGGAUUGCUUGCUUUUGAAACCGGAAAAUUCUUAAUUGUGUAUUUUCUAGGCGACUAAUUCAAGGCAUAAUAAUGGAAACCAAGUGCCUGCUAGUCUUAACCUUUAUAUUCACGCAUGCUGCUGCAUUUUAUAACAUAUCUGUACUCAGGUAUAGGUGUUGUAACACGUCUACAUGCUUAGACUUGAAUAGAGCUGCUGGUCAGUCUAAUUGACAUGUUUUGCGUUUUGGUGAAAUGCUUCGUGUCAGUCCUUUUAGUGUUCUAAACUAUAUUUAAAAACAUAAUUAUUUUUCUGUGAGUCGUAAGCUUUAGCACAUAAUCGUAAAUCUGAACUUGUUUGCAUCAAUAUUUUGAUUCUAAGACCACAAUACAAGUACAACCUCAUACAUGUCUUAUUUCCUAGAGAAGUCUCCGAAAUAAGAAAUAACAUUCUAGCAUUCCAAUUUUUAUCUUUUGUCAUGGCCUACAAAAUAUUGCCUUAAAUCGAUGCAAGAUAUCUAAGCUGCACUUGCUAAGAGGUUCUGUGACAGCUUUUCAUAUCGGAAAUGAUCCUUCAUAGAGUCAUCUGCAGACCAAAUAAAGAUACCGUGAAGUUUCCUCUGGCUCCUUAGUAUGGUGCAUGCAUCAAAGAAUCCAUGUUCAGGAGACAAGCCGCCAAUAUUAUUAGUUCCAAAACUCACAAGAAUCUUGCCUCCUUUAUAGUUACAUCUCUGUGUUUCAAAGUACUGCAAGAAUUGAGGAAUGGUUGUGCCCUUCGCGUAGGCAUAAAAUUGGAAGUUGACAUAGUCUAUUAGAUGACCAUACUUUCUCCAGAGUGCUAAAUAAUGCACCUGCACUGAAUCAUCUGCAUAUGGUGCUAUUGAUGUGUAAGAGAUGACAUUGUUUUGUUUAAGGAAGUACAACAGUCGCCCGAUGCACUCUGCAAAUGUAUCUGGAUCUACAUUGAAGUGUUCAUAAUCUAUAUCUAUUGCAUCCAGGUUAUACUCUUUCGCUAUCUUGGUGAUUGAAUAUAUUGCAUUUCUCACCCAAGAUGUAAUCGAUGUAGGAGCAAAGGUGGCAUUUUUACCGUUCACUGUAUCACCACCAAGACUCAUACCUAC
rnacentral:lncRNA from 1 species